rnacentral:sRNA from 1 species
AUUUAGCCCCGAUAGAAGUGGAAAUCCUUUUACUUUUUUCUUUAAAAAGUAAAAGAUUGCAACGGAUAGCGGGACUUGAC